rnacentral:lncRNA from 1 species
GGGGGGGGUUGGGGUGACGUAGAGAAACCCCCCCCCAAAAAAAUCGGGGGGGGAGGGGUCCUGGAGCUGGUGUCCUCAAGGUCCCCGAGGUCCUCAGGGUGGUGACACCAAGGGCCUGGAGCUCAUGACCCUGGUGGCCCCAAAACGACGUCUCCUGGGGGUCCCCAACCUGGAGGAACCCAAGACGGUGGAUUCCAAGGUCCCCAAGACCAUGUCCCCGAGGUCCCCGAGGUGGUGACACCAAGGUCCUGGAGCUCAUCAUGUCCCUGGUGUCCCCAGGGUGGUGGCCUCAGGGGUCCAGGAGCUGGAGGACCCCAAAGUUCUUGGCCCCGAUGUCCCCAAGGUCCCCAAGCUGGAGGACCCCAAGGUCCCCAAGACCGUGGACUCCAAGGUCCCAAAGACCAUGUCCCCAAGGUCCUCAAGGUGGUGGCCUCUUGGGUCCUGGAGCUGGUGGACCUCAAGGUCCCAGAGCUGAUGUCCCCAGAGUCCAGGAGGUGACAUCCCCGAGGUGGUGUUUCCUGGGGUCCCCAAGCUGGAGGACCCCAAGACCGUGGAUUCCAAGGUCCCAAAGACCAUGUCCCCAAGGUCCCCGAGGUGGUGACACCAAGGACCUGGAGCUCAUGUCCCCAAGGUCCCCAAGGUGACGUCUCCUGGGGGUCCUCAAGCUGGAGGAACCCAAGGUCCCCAAGGUCCCCGAGGUGGUGGCUUCAUGGGUCCUGCAGCUGGGGGGCCCCAAGGUUCUUGGCCCCAAUGUCCCCAACCUGGAGGACCCCAAGGUCCCCAAGACCAUGGACUCCAAGGUCCCAAAGCUCAUGUCCCCAAGGUCCCCAAGGUGACGUCUCCUGGGGGUCCUCAAGCUGGGGAACCUCAAGGUCCCCAAGACCAUGUCCCCAAGGUCCCCGAGGUGGCAGUUCCUGGGGGUCCUCAACCUGGAGGACCCCAAGACCAUGGACCCCAAGGUCCCAAAGUCCAUGUCCCCAAGGUCCCCAAGGUGGUGGCCUCUUGGGUCCUGCAGCUGGGGGACCCCAAGGUCCCCAGAGUCCAGGAGGUGACGUCCCCGAGGUGGUGUUUCCUGGGGGUCCCCAAGCUGGAGGUCCCCAAGACCAUGGACUCCAAGGUCCUGGAGCUCAUGUCCCCAAGGUCCCCAAGGUGACGUCUCCUGGGGGUCCUCAAGCUGGAGGAACCCAAGGUCCCCAAGGUCCCCGAGGUGGUGGCUUCAUGGGUCCUGCAGCUGGGGGGCCCCAAGGUUCUUGGCCCCAAUGUCCCCAACCUGGAGGACCCCAAGGUCCCCAAGACCAUGGACUCCAAGGUCCCAAAGCUCAUGUCCCCAAGGUCCCCAAGGUGACGUCUCCUGGGGGUCCUCAAGCUGGGGAACCUCAAGGUCCCCAAGACCAUGUCCCCAAGGUCCCCGAGGUGGCAGUUCCUGGGGGUCCUCAACCUGGAGGACCCCAAGACCAUGGACCCCAAGGUCCCAAAGUCCAUGUCCCCAAGGUCCCCAAGGUGGUGGCCUCUUGGGUCCUGCAGCUGGGGGACCCCAAGGUCCCCAGAGUCCAGGAGGUGACGUCCCCGAGGUGGUGUUUCCUGGGGGUCCCCAAGCUGGAGGUCCCCAAGACCAUGGACUCCAAGGUCCUGGAGCUCAUGUCCCUGGUGUCCCCAAGGUGGUGGCCUUGUAGGACCUCAAGCUGGGGGACCCCAAGGUUCUUGGCACCGAUGUCCCCGAGGUCCCCAAGCUGGAGGACCCCAAGGUCCCCAAGGUGGAGGACCCCAAGGUCCCCAAGACCAUGGACUCCAAGGUCCCAGAGCUCUUGUCCCCAAGGUCCCCAAGGUGGUGGCCUCGGGGGUCCUCAAGCUGGGGGACCCCAAGGUUCUUGUCCCCGAGGUCCCCAAGGUCCCCAAGGUGGCAUCUCCUGAGGGUCCUCAAGCUGGAGGACCCCAAGACCAUGGACUCCAAGGUCCCCAAGACCAUGUCCCCAAGGUCCCCAAGGUGGUGACACCAAGGUCCUGGAGCUCAUCAUGUCCCUGGUGUCCCCAAGGUGGUGGCCCCUUGGGUCCAGGAGCUGGGGGACCCCAAGGUUCUUGUCCCCGAUGUCCCCAAGGUCCCUGAGGUGACGUCUCCUGGGGGUCCUCAAGCUGGAGGACCCCAAGGUCCCCAAGGUGGCAGUUCCUGGGGGUCCUGGAGCUGGAGGACCCCAAGACCAUGGACUCCAAGGUCCUGGAGCUCAUGUCCCCAAGGUCCCCAAGGUCCCCGAGGUGGUGGCCUCUUGGGUCCUCAAGCUGAUGGACCCCAAGGUUCUUGGCACCGAUGUCCCUGAGGUACCCAAGGUGGAGGACCCCAAGGUCCCCAAGACCAUGGACUCCAAGGUCCUGGAGCUCAUGUCCCCAAGGUCCCCGAGGUGGUGGCCUCUUGGGUCCCCGAGCCCAUGUCCCUGGAGUCCAGGAGGUGACGUCCCCGAGGUGGUGACACCAAGGACCUGGAGCUCAUGUCCCUGGUGUCCCCAAGGUGGUGGCUUCGGGGGUCCUGCAGCUGGAGGACCCCAAAGUCCUGGAACCCCUGUCCCCAAGGUCCCCGAGGUCCCCAAGGUGCCCAAGGUGGCAGUUCCUGGGGGUCCCCAACCUGGAGGACCCCAAGACCAUGGACUCCAAGGUCCCAGAGCUCAUGUCCCCAAGGUCCCCAAAGUCCCCAAGGUCCCUGAGGUCCCCAAGGUGGCAUCUCCUGAGGGUCCCCAACCUGGAGGACCCCAAGACUGUGGACCCCAAGGUCCUGGAGCUGGUGACCCCAAGGUCCCCAAGGUCCCCAAGGUGGUGGCCUCAGGGGUCCUCAAGCUGGUGGACCCCAAAGUUCUUGUCCCCGAUGUCCCCAAGGUCCCCGAGGUGGCAUCUCCUGGGGGUCCUCAAGCUGGUGGACCCCAAG